rnacentral:piRNA from 1 species
UGGUCAACUCAUGUGGCAGUCUUGACUGUGU